CCGGGUAGAAUAGCGCUGGAACCAUCAGGAAGAAAAAAGGAGGGGGUGCCUGGGCCCUGGGGAGCAGGCUGUGGCCAGGCCUUGCCGGGCAUCCCCUGUGGCCAGCAUAAAGGAAGGGCUACAAGAAGAGGGGCCCUUGGCGGGGCUGAAGGCCAGGCCUGGCUCUGCCCACCUCCAUGCCAGGGAACACCUCUCAGUGUUCCCAGGAGCUUUGGGGAGUCACCAUGGCCCCAGGGCCCAGCUCUGUGCCCCUGGUAUCCGGAUCUACUCAGAUCAUCUCUGGCAGGUAAACAUGGAGGGCGUUUGACACAAGCUAACAGAAGCCACCGCUGGAGCACCCGUCCCCAUCCUGACUUGGUCUCCUCUCUGGGUCCGUCCUGGUCACUGUUUCUCUUCUUCAAGGUUCGGCAGACAACAAGCCUCUUUUAGGAAGCAAAAAUAAUCAAUGUCUGCAUAGCUCUUCCCCCAUGAGGGGCUGGGCUGGAUAUGAACCUAACUCCACCUAAGAUGCUGGACCAGUGCCAAGCUGUACGUGUGCAGCACCAUGUCCCUGAAAAUGAACUGGUGACAGACUAUGAUGCUGCAUGCCAAGACCUCUAGAUGACGAAUAAAGGAAGCACACUGUGUACUGCUUUGUGGUCCUUCAGGAGGACCAAGAGCACACAUCAUAUUGUAAGAAACACUGUCUGCUUGUCACCCCUGGCUAAAUUUACAAAGGUUUUAUAAAAUAAAUUUAAAAAGUAGUCACUGCAUGAACAACAACAAAAGAAUAUAAAAAUAGGCUCAAUGUCACAUUCAAUGCUGAGAACUGCCCUUGCUACAAUAUCAGUGCCUCUUGCAGAGGACCUGGGAUUAGCUCCCAGGCCCCAAAUGGUGGCUCACAACCACCUGUAACUCCAGUCCAGGGCAUCUGGACUCUUCAAACGUCCACUGGCACAAGUAUACAAGAAUUCCACAUACAUACAUACAUACAUACAUACAUACAUACAUACAUGUAAGACAGUCAUAUAAAAUAAAAUCAACAGAUUAACAGAUUUCAGGAAGAAAAAGGGGACUUUGGAAGCUUUGGAAGUUGAAGUACAUGUAUUUGCACUAAGCAAGAGCCAGAGCCUACAGGGCCACAGGUGGAGUGCUAUGGUUUGGAUGUAAAACCCCGUAGGUUGGUGUUUCUUGGUCCCAAGCCUGGCACUGCUUUGGGAGGCUGUGGAACCUUUGGCUGUGAGGUCCAGCUGGGGAAUGUCAGCCAAGAUGGACAGCCCAUGGAGGUUGCAGACCGAUCUUCCAACCUGAGUUGUGCUUUCUGGUAAAAGGGAGCUGUAAGACCCUGCCACAGGCUAAACUGCAUCACCUCACCAUCUCUGCCAGAAGGAUGGACUGCAUUCCUGGAAAACAGUGAGCCAAAUAAAUCCUUGUGACCUUUAAAACAAUGUUAUUCCAAGUCAGGUUUGAAAAUGUAGGCUGUGCUAUCACGGUCAGCACCAACAGUAAAAAUGUUCAACAGCAGCUUUGUCUGAAGGCGUCCGAGUCCAUGCAGUCGUCUUCCUUGGUGCCAUUAAGGAGGCUCCCUGCCUCAUAGCACAGGGCUCCUUAACCACAAACUCAUUGAACAAAGAAUGAAAUCUGAUGGAUUGGCUGCUUCUUAUUUACACUAUGACUGAAACGACAGCCCAGGAUUUAACUGCCUUUAUUUUACGCUUAAAAUAUACAUAUAAAAUGGGGGUGGGGGAGAUUAGCAGAAAAUAAUUAGACGUGCCAAAACACUUGAAAUUCUAGCCACAGCUAAAAUCAAUAGUAAAGGACCAACUACUGUUGGAAAGAGAUAACUACAAGAAAAGUCAGGUUAAAGCCUAAAUGAGUUUCAUCUCAUUAGCUUCAAAACUGUGUAAAGUGAUCUUCAAAAAAACCAGCAUCCACAGUUGUCAGGUCCACUGCCACACACGGGUGGGUGAGUCUGAGAAA